UUACGUCCCCGGGCCCGCGCCCGCCGAAGACACCCUCGAACUCUGUCUGAAGAUUGUAGUCUGAGUGAAAAUAUAAAUUAUUUAAAACUUUCAACAACGGAUCUCUUGGUUCCGGCAUCGAUGAAGAACGCAGCGAAAUGCGAUACGUAAUGUGAAUUGCAAAUUCAGUGAAUCAUCGAGUCUUUGAACGCACAUUGCGCCCCCUGGUAUUCCGGGGGGCAUGCCUGUCCGAGCGUCAUUUCUGCCCUCAAGCACGGCUUGUGUGUUGGGCCCCGUCCUCCGAUUCCGGGGGACGGGCCCGAAAGGCAGCGGCGGCACCGAGUCCGGUCCUCGAGCGUAUGGGGCUUUGUCACCCGCUCUGUAGGCCCGGCCGGCGCUUGCCGAUCAACCCAAAUUUUUAUCCAGGUUGACCUCGGAUCAGGUAGGGAUACCCGCUGAACUUAAGCAUAUCAAUAAGCGGAGGAAAAGAAACCAACAGGGAUUGCCCCAGUAACGGCGAGUGAAGCGGCAAGAGCUCAAAUUUGAAAGCUGGCUCCUUCGGGGUCCGCAUUGUAAUUUGCAGAGGAUGCUUCGGGAGCGGUCCCCAUCUAAGUGCCCUGGAACGGGACGUCAUAGAGGGUGAGAAUCCCGUAUGGGAUGGGGUGUCCGCGCCCGUGUGAAGCUCCUUCGACGAGUCGAGUUGUUUGGGAAUGCAGCUCUAAAUGGGUGGUAAAUUUCAUCUAAAGCUAAAUAUUGGCCGGAGACCGAUAGCGCACAAGUAGAGUGAUCGAAAGAUGAAAAGCACUUUGAAAAGAGAGUUAAAAAGCACGUGAAAUUGUUGAAAGGGAAGCGCUUGCGACCAGACUCGCUCGCGGGGUUCAGCCGGCAUUCGUGCCGGUGUAUUUCCCCGCGGGCGGGCCAGCGUCGGUUUGGGCGGUCGGUCAAAGGCCCUCGGAAGGUAACGCCCCUAGGGGCGUCUUAUAGCCGAGGGUGCAAUGCGACCUGCCUAGACCGAGGAACGCGCUUCGGCUCGGACGCUGGCAUAAUGGUCGUAAGCGACCCGUCUUGAAACACGGACCAAGGAGUCUAACAUCUACGCGAGUGUUCGGGUGUCAAACCCGUGCGCGAAGUGAAAGCGAACGGAGGUGGGAACCCUUACGGGUGCACCAUCGACCGAUCCUGAAGUCUUCGGAUGGAUUUGAGUAAGAGCGUAGCUGUUGGGACCCGAAAGAUGGUGAACUAUGCCUGAAUAGGGCGAAGCCAGAGGAAACUCUGGUGGAGGCUCGUAGCGG
rnacentral:sRNA from 1 species